rnacentral:rRNA from 1 species
UCAGUUCGGAUUGAAGGCUGAAAUUCGCCUUCAUGAAGCCGGAAUUGCUAGUAAUGGCAGGUCAGCAUACUGCCGUGAAUACGUUCCCGGGCCUUGUACACACCGCCCGUCACACCAUGAGAGUUGGGAAUACCCGAAGCCUGUGAGCUAACUAUACGAGGCAGCAGUCGAAGGUAGAAUCAAUGAUUGGGGUGAAGUCGUAACAAGGUAAC